GCUCUAUAGAGACUACAUAUAAGUCCAAAGUGAGGUGACAAAGUCAUCAUAAUGUGGCCUGUUUGCUUCAAGUCAGAUAUUGAGGAAGUUCUGAUAUGCAGCCACCAGAAACUUCCGUUAUCAGAGGAAGGAACCUCAGCUUUCAUUAAAAACCUUAACAUUGGCUUCUGACAGCUUGUACAAAUAUAUCAUCUAAAUAUGUUUGACUUUUGUAGUAACCUGAACCUAAAUGUUCAUACUGCAGAAGCUGAAACUGCACUUUCUCAGUGUUCAGGGAUACAUGCCCAGCAACUUCCUUCUCAUCUGUCACCCCAAGGCCAUCCACCUCAAGACACAGGUUCUCAACAUCUUUUUUUACUGUCAACCUGGAUGUCCCUUCUGGAAUUUGGAGCUUCUGGAUAUUCUGGAAGUGGUGCAGGCUGGUCGUGGCACAGGAGAGGUGCACGCACAACACCGUCUGCACUGCUUCUAGGGCAACAUUACCCCUUUUGUCAUUGCAAAUUCACAAACAGACAGUUGCUGGGUAAGCAACACUUACUUCUUUAAUCCAAGAGGCUGUGCUACAUCAGCCUUUAACCAAAGGUUUCUGUAAGGAAAGGCUGAGGUUUUCCUCAAUGCUGAGCAUAUCCAAGCCUGAUCUAUCCCUCUUUCACAAAAAAAUGCUGUAGACACGUUUCUGCACACAGCCAGAAAUGGACUCAGCAAGAUCAGUGCCCUCGUUUGGGGAAGGAGGAAAUUUCUCUGGAUAGCAGAAUGAUCUACUCCUACACUGCAUCCCUUAGGCAAUUCACCCAUUCAAAGAGGUGUAUCAGCUAACUUCACUGGAUGACUGGUGGCCUUCUCUCUGGUGGUGAAGGGUGAUCUGCCUGAAGAACUAGGGCUUGGGAAAGAAGGAAGAGGCUGGGAGGAACUGUUGGGCUGAACACUAACAUAUAGUUAUGAAAGAAAGGGCAGUGCCAUUGAAUUUGAGGGGAAAGCAACAUCCAAAAUUACGAUAUGUGAAUGAUGAUAGUGGUCUGCAGAAAUAUAUCAUUCCUAGACCACCUGGAAAAGCUUGCUGGAGGAUGUUGGGAGAGGUAGGUGUGCCUGAGGUAUAAUUUGCAUUCAGAGCACAUUAAAAAAUCAUCCUGAAAACUCAGUAGUAUAAAUCAGCAGUUCAUCAUUCACACUAAUUGUCCCAAGAUAAUUUCUGCAAACAUCCUCUAGAGCAAGGAAGGGACCAACAGUUUCUCUCAGAAAUACAGACAAUUUAUGGAUGCUGAAUAGAGAAAAAUAUAACAGUGUCUAAAAUAACUGGAAAAGAGAAGUUUACAUGGUCUGCCAAUUCAAAGUAUUCCUGCUAGAUAUUUCUCUACUGCUUUUUCGAUCCUCAGAGCAAGAAAAUAAGACAGCGUUUUUUGUUGACAGCUUCACAAAAAACAAAAGGCUGGGGAAAAGCUUACUCCAAGACCUCCUUACCUCCUUCACAGAGGGAGGGCUGGAGUGGGGGGAGCUCACAGCAGGGGCAAAUGCAACGGUUUGGAGAGCAAUUGCAGGGCUUGGAGAGAGACGACAGGAAGCAAGAACUGACCGUCUCCCUGCCCGGCACAAACACAUACAGACUUAACCUACAGCUGAACUUUUGCCCUUGAGUGACCAGUGCCAUUAGGACACGGGUCAAAAGGUUGCAGGGUGACAGAAAAUGGAACUUUAUUGAAUGAAAGAGAAAAUGAAAAAAUUCCUUUGUUUGCUUAACUCCGUGUGGUUUGUAUAGCCACUGUGAUCCCAUAAUGGAGUCCAGAGUGAAAAAGUAACUUGAUUUAUCACAUGCAAAGGAAAAAAAGGAAAAAAAAAGGGGGGGGGGCAGGGGGGGAGGGGAGAGAGAGAGAAAGAGGGAGGAAUUCACUAAGGGAGUAAAUAAGAAAAGAAAAAGUAAAGAAUAAAAUCCCUAAACCCUUAAGACA
rnacentral:lncRNA from 1 species